rnacentral:rRNA from 1 species
AUUGAACGCUGGCGGCAUGCUUUACACAUGCAAGUCGAACGGUAACAGCACUUCGGUGGCUGACGAGUGGCGAACGGGUGCGUAAUACAUCGGAACGUGCCUAGUAGUUGGGAUAACUACUCGAAAGAGUAGCUAAUACCGCAUGAGAUCUAAGGAUGAAAGCAGGGGACCUUCGUGCCUUUCGCUACUUUAGCGUCUGAUGGCAGAUUAGGUAGUUGGUGGGAUAAAAGCUUACCAAGCCGACGAUCUGUAGCUGGUCUGAGAGGACGACCAGCCACACUGGGACUGAGACACGGCACAGAAUCCUACGGGAGGCAGCAGUGGGGAAUGUUGGACAAUGGGCGAAAGCAUGAUACAGCAAUGCCGCGUGAAGGAUGAAGGCCUUCGGGUUGUAAAAUGCUUUUGUAAGGAAAGAAAAGAAAUAUUCUAAAACAGGAGGGGAAUGACGGUAACGUAAGAAUAAGCACCGGCUAACUACGUG